rnacentral:rRNA from 1 species
GACGAACGCUGGCGGCGUGCUUAACACAUGCAAGUCGAACGGUAAGGCCCUUCGGGGUACACGAGUGGCGAACGGGUGAGUAACACGUGGGUGAUCUGCCCUGCACUUCGGGAUAAGCCUGGGAAACUGGGUCUAAUACCGGACAGGACUCCGGACUGCAUGGUCUGGGGUGGAAAGCUUUUGCGGUGUGGGAUGGGCCCGCGGCCUAUCAGCUUGUUGGUGGGGUGAUGGCCUACCAAGGCGACGACGGGUAGCCGGCCUGAGAGGGGGACCGGCCACACUGGGACUGAGAUACGGCGCAGACUCCUACGGGAGGCAGCAGUGGGGAAUAUUGCACAAUGGGCGCAAGCCUGAUGCAGCGACGCCGCGUGAGGGAUGACGGCCUUCGGGUUGUAAACCUCUUUCAGCAUCGACGAAGCGAAAGUGACGGUAGGUGCAGAAGAAGGACCGGCCAACUACGUGCCAGCCGCCGCGGUAA